rfam:Haliea rubra DSM 19751 genomic scaffold scaffold28, whole genome shotgun sequence.
UGAGUGCGUAGGACGGGUGGGCUCGAACCGGGUUCGAGCGAGGGGCGAAAGCCCCGAAGCAGCGCCGCCGCAGGCGGCGACCCGGAGGGCGAGGGCCGCAGGCCCGGGUAAUCCACCCCCCUCCACCA